rnacentral:rRNA from 1 species
UUCCUCCUUUUCUCCGCCUUAGGGAAUAUUGCCCAAUGGGGGAACCCCUGACUCCUCCCCUCCUCUUUUCUUCUUCCUUUUUUCGUAUUGUAAACUCCUUUUGUUAGAGAAGAUAAUGACGGUAUCUAACGAAUAAGCACCGGCUAACUCCGUGCCAGCAGCCGCGGUAAUACGGAGGGUGCAAGCGUUACUCGGAAUCACUGGGCGUAAAGAGCGCGUAUGCGGUAUAGCAAGUCAGAUGUGAAAUCCUAUGGCUUAACCAUAGAACUGCAUUUGAAACUGUUAUUCUAGAGUAUGGGAGAGGG